GUGUGAGGAGGUAAAGGCCAGAUGCCUUGGUGUGAGGAGGUAAAGGCCAGAUGCCUUGGUGUGAGGAGGUAAAGGCCAGAUGCCUUGGUGUGAGGAGGUAAAGGCCAGAUGCCUUGGUGUGAGGAGGUAAAGGCCAGAUGCCUUGGUGUGAGGAGGUAAAGGCCAGAUGCCUUGGUGUGAGGAGGUAAAGGCCAGAUGCCUUGGUGUGAGGAGGUAAAGGCCAGAUGCCUUGGUGUGAGGAGGUAAAGGCCAGAUGCCUUGGUGUGAGGAGGUAAAGGCCAGAUGCCUUGGUGUGAGGAGGUAAAGGCCAGAUGCCUUGGUGUGAGGAGGUAAAGGCCAGAUGCCUUGGUGUGAGGAGGUAAAGGCCAG